AUACGGAGGGUGCAAGCGUUGUCCGGAUUUAUUGGGUUUAAAGGGUGCGUAGGCGGCCCGUUAAGUCAGUGGUGAAAGGUAUCAGCUCAACUGAUGAAGUGCCAUUGAAACUAACGGGCUUGAGUACAUACGAGGUAGGCGGAAUUUAUGGUGUAGCGGUGAAAUGCAUAGAUACCAUAAAGAACACCGAUAGCGAAGGCAGCUUACUAGACUGUCACUGACGCUGAGGCACGAAAGCGUGGGGAGCAAACAGGAUUAGAAACCCCAGUAGUCC
rnacentral:rRNA from 1 species